GUGAACGCUGGCGGGCGGCCUCACACAUGCCAGUCGAACGGCAGCACAGUAAGAGCUUGCUCUUACGGGUGGCGAGUGGCGGACGGGUGAGGAAUACAUCGGAAUCUACUUUUUCGUGGGGGAUAACGUAGGGAAACUUACGCUAAUACCGCAUACGACCUACGGGUGAAAGCAGGGGAUCUUCGGACCUUGCGCGAUUGAAUGAGCCGAUGUCGGAUUAGCUAGUUGGCGGGGUAAAGGCCCACCAAGGCGACGAUCCGUAGCUGGUCUGAGAGGAUGAUCAGCCACACUGGAACUGAGACACGGUCCAGACUCCUACGGGAGGCAGCAGUGGGGAAUAUUGGACAAUGGGCGCAAGCCUGAUCCAGCCAUACCGCGUGGGUGAAGAAGGCCUUCGGGUUGUAAAGCCCUUUUGUUGGGAAAGAAAAGCAGCAGGUUAAUACCCCGCUGUUCUGACGGUACCCAAAGAAUAAGCACCGGCUAACUUCGUG
rnacentral:rRNA from 1 species